GACGAACCAUGCAAACGUUAUUCGGAUUCACUGGGCUUAAAGCGUGCGUAGGCGGUCUUGUUAGUCAGGUGUGAAAGCCCUCAGCCUAACUGAGGAAUUGCGCUUGAUACUGCAUGACUAGAGAAUGAUAGAGGUGGGUGGAACUGAUGGUGGAGCGGUGAAAUGCGUUGAUAUCAUCAGGAACACCAGUGGCGAAGGCGACCCACUGGGUCAUUUCUGACGCUGAGGAGCGAAAGCGUGGGGAGCGAACAGG
rnacentral:rRNA from 1 species